rnacentral:rRNA from 1 species
UACAGAGGUCCCAAGCGUUGUUCGGAUUCACUGGGCGUAAAGGGUGCGUAGGCGGGUUUGUAAGUUCGAUGUGAAAGCCCCGGGCUUAACCCGGGAAUGGCAUUGGAUACUGCAGAUCUGGAGGAUCGGAGGGGGGACUGGAAUUCUUGGUGUAGCAGUGAAAUGCGUAGAUAUCAAGAGGAACACCAGUGGCGAAGGCGGAUCUCUGGGCCAUUACUGACGCUGAGGAGCGAAAGCGUGGGGAGCAAACAGG